rnacentral:lncRNA from 10 species
CCAUAGUAUACAAUUUAUUUCUCCAUGGGCAACAAGACAUGCCAGCAACUGCACGGCUACUUCUCCAUUUAGCCAUGAUGCCCCCUGCCAGUGCCCCAUGGGGCAGCUCUCUUCACAUGGCCAUGCUAGUGAGGAGUGCUCCUCAUUCCUGCUGCUAUCCCAGAGAAUUCUGCCACCUUCCAGAGCCAACUGUUUUCCCCUUUCUCUGCGUUUGAUAGAAAAGAAAGAUAAGAAAUAAAUAGGGCUUAAUUUCCCAAACCAUUUAUGUAGUUUUUCCUCCUUUUCAGGACAGAGAAUAAAGGGUCCCUGUAUUCAUGCCUUCCUGGAAAUCUCAGUGCAAGGCCCUAUCAGGAGGUUUCCUGGAGCAGCUAAGGGAACAGCUAGACCACCCAGGAAGAAAUGACAGAAGCCUACCUGACUUCCAAUCUGCUUGCUUCAUGGUGUAAUGGGGGCCUAGACAGAAGCACCCCAAGGACACUUACAACAACUGUUCUGCCAGCUCUAGUCCAUUGGAGAAGAUGUGCCAACAUACCUUCUCACCAUCCCUAGAGCCCAACCUUGCUAUGGAAAGGUCAAACCCUUACCAUUGGCCCUGCCAAGGAUCCCCAGACAGAGAAGCACAAUGGAGGCCAUAAAUUAUGGCUUCUUAUCAUGGCCUCCACAUAACUUAAACUCUGGAUGGUGAAUGAAAUCUGGGGCCAAGUCUUAAAGGGUCAGGGUAGCCAAUGAGCAUAACUCAAUAUUUGUGUUUCUAAGAGAAAACCACAGAACCUCCAUAUCCAUGGCAAACUGGCCAGCCACAGGCUGGAUCCAGUGUGCAGUAGUGUUUUGUGUACACCAUUCACUAUUUGUCUACUUGGGUUAAAAAUGUUUUAUAUUAGUUAGCAAUGUUUAAACAUUGGGAGAAUUAAAGGGAAAUGAAAACGUACUUCCCACAAAUACUUGCACAUAAAUAUUCACAGCAGCAUUGUUUAUAAUUGCCCAAAACUAGAAACAACCCAAAUAUCCAUCAACUGAUGAAUGAUAAACAAGUUGUGGUAUAUUCAUCCAAUAAAACAAUAUUCAGCAAUAAAAAUAAACAAAUCAGGCACUUAAUAUAAUUGAAUAUCAAGGUCAUUAUGUUGAGUGAAAGAGGCCAGAAAAUAAAAGUAUACACUAUUUGAUUCCAUUUAUAUAAUAUUCUAGAAAAUGAAAACCAGUCUAUACUUACAGAAAACAAGGUGGUAGCUUACAGAGAUGGGGUAGAGGGAGGGAGAGAUGACAGAGAGGCAUAAAAAAACUUUCCGGACAAUGAAAAUGUUCUGUAUUUUAAUUGUGGUGAUGGUUUCAUGGAUGUACAAGUUCAUCAAAUCUCAUCAAGUUAAAUAUAUGCAUUUAUUUUAUAUUAAGUGUACCUCAAUAAAGCAGAAAAAUUUAAAAUUGGUAAUAUUUAUAUACAAAUUGAGAUAUCUAUAUUUCUUGAAAAUCAAAAUGUCUGACAUCAUUUGGUCUACAUAUUUAUCUGCCAAAAAUACAGGAGAUAGACAGUAGCUGUCCUUUAGAAGGGGCAUACCCUUUCGAGUUUGCAACAGGCCUUCAUACUUCCUGCUGCUUACCCAGCAUUCAUUACAUGUUUAUUGUCAUUUAUUUAAGUUACUUAUUGUGAACCUAAUGCAUGUAUGGCCUCAUUCUAGGUACUGGAGACUAAACAUGCAAACACACCUAACUGGCAUGGUUUCCAUUUGCCUAAUUGUCACGGGGUACCAUGAAGUUUACAUUUUAGUGAGAUUGGAGAAAGAUAGACAUUUAGAGUUAAUAAGUUGGAUAAAUAGUAUAUUAGGUGGAAAGAAGUAUAAGAAAAAAACAUACAGCCAGGAAGAAGUAUAGACAGUUCCAGAGCUAAAAUGUUAGCCAUGGAUCCCAGGAAGUCCUCACUGAAAGGUGACUUUGGGAGGAAACCUGUAGAAGGUGAGGAAUUGAGCUAUGCAUAUAACCCAGGGAAGAGCAUUCUAGACAGACAUGACAGUCCAUGAGAAGAUUCUAGGCAAGGGAGGUAGCCCAGGGUCUUCAACCAACAGCAAGGAGGCUAAUCUAGCUUGGCACAGAGUAACAAGAGAUGAGAUCAGAGAAAUAACAGGGUAGAGAUGGUGUGGAGUCUUAUAGAUUAUUGAAGGGAGUUUGUCAUUUACUGGAUGAAAUAGGAAGCCUUUGGAGGGUGUUGUUAAUUGUAAUCAUGAUAGGGUUAUUACUUUUCUUAUAGUAGAGUUCAAAAGAAAGGAAAACUUAUUUUUGUAACCAGGUCAUUAACCUGGCCCCUGUAGACAUCUGAGUUUGUAAUUUCUGUCAUAUUUUAUCUAAAUAUCAUGAUAGAGAACAAAAUAUCUGACUGGUUCUGUACUGAUAGGCAGUCAGUCAUGCUGGCUAACUUUCAGAAAUAUGCCAUGUUUGGUGGUCUCCUUUCUCUCUGUUUUCUCUAGGUUGAAUAUGGGGAUUCAACCACAUCACUUCACUCUCUCACCCCUUAUAGCACACGCUUCUCUCCCUUUCCUUGGCAUCCCCUGGCCCUAUCAUGACCUGAGGUCUUCCCUACCACUUUGGGGGCUCCCAUCUAAAAAUGCAUUCUAAGUCCUCUACCUGGAACUAAUUUAUCUCCAGGUCUACACUACUGAUAACAAGAUAUACGAUCCCUUGCAAAGGAACUUGUAACACCCUGAAAUUACUCAGAAAUCACACCUCACAGGAGAUUGAGACCAUCCUGGCUAACACGGUGAAACCCCGUCUCUACUAAAAAUACAAAAAAUUAGCCAGGCGUGGUGGUGGGCGCCUGUAGUCCCAGCUACUCAGGAGGCUGAGGCAGGAGAAUGGCAUGAACCCAGGAGGAGGACCUUGCAGUGAGCCGAGAUCGCGCCACUGCACUCCAGCCCGGGCGACAGAGCAAGACUCCGUCUCAAAAAAAAAAAAAAAAAAAGAAAGAAAAGAAAUCACACCUCACAGGCAAACUCUGUAAGUGGGCUCCUGUAGGAAAGCAGCCUGUUGCAUGGCAAGAAAAAUGCCAUCUUGAAGUGAAAUCGUCAUUAAUUCCUGCAUAUCCAGGCAUUCCCACAGCAAGGUCAAGAAACAAUGCCUAUAUCAUAGAUAACUUCUCAUAAAGAUGCUUCUCUAACUUCCCCAGUGGUCAUGAAUGUCAUAAGAGGGUCUGAGACGUGACCAGCAGCGCAUGUCUUACCAAAAAAAAAAGCUUGCUACAGAAAGGAUAUUUUCUGGAGUGCCGAGUGUGGGGAUCCAUCAUCUUGUGGCUACCCAAAGCAUGGCUUCUGUUUGUUACGUCCCUACUAAAUGUUUCUUUCUGGGAAACUGAAUUUGUCAGCCUCUUUCUUUGGCCUGUCAGCUCUCUUGGCUUUCGGGGGUAGAUCUGCAUAUACCUACUCACCCAGAACAUUUGGUGAGUCAGUCAGGAGCUAAGAGGCCAAGAGACAGGAAAGGGGAAUGAAGCAUCUGUACGGGAAAUCCCAGGCCAGCCACGUCUAUGUGGGAUGGUGUGGCACGUCUGUUAGAUGCAUUUGGACUCUGUGUGACUAUGGAGACACCCUGAACAAGCUGGUUGGCCUAGAGUGGUUAUUAACUGAAAGGCAUAUGGUGCAGUGUGGUAAGGAAGGGCAGUGGAUAGCCACUGCAGUGGGUUGGCUGCUUCUGUGGGCCAUUUGUUUGUCAACACAGGUUUAGCUAGCAAUAGAAAUGAAAAGCAAAUGGCUAGAGGAAAAUUGCACCAACCUGAUAGAAAAGGACAUGUGCCUUUUCACUUCUCUGAUUGCGUCCAGUGUAGCUACAUGUUUUACCAAAAAAAAAAAGAAAAAAAAAAAGCCUGCUAUAGAAAGAAUAUUUCAGGAGGGUAGGUGUGGAAAUCUAUGGUCUCUCAGCUGCCCAAGGCAUUGCUUCUGUUCAUAGGUUCCUAUCAAAUGUUUCUUUCUGAGAAACUGGAUUUGUCAGCCUCUUUUCUCUGGCUUCCCAGCUUCCUUGGCCUUUGAGGGGGAGACCUGCAUAUAUCUGUUCACUGCAGAACAGCCCCAUACAUGAAAUGAAUUUUGAGAUUAGAGGAAGAAGUUUCAUUUAUAAGCCCAAAGCAAACAAUUAGGAAAAAAAAUUAUGCUCAGGAAGUUAGGGACUAAGAACUAACCUAAUUACAGGGCUAAAGAAGGAAAUUUGGCCAAAAUAAUCUGACAGAAUGCAAUUUCAACAAAGGCAAAUUAAACCAAGGUAAGUCACUCCAUGUACAUUUGUGUCUAAAUUAAUAUCCCUAGUCACAAAUAACAACUUAAACUUAUAGAAGUAGUUGAUGAAACCAGCUGACACAGAGAGCCAUGUAUCAAUCUUGAUUAUAGAACCUUCUGGAGAUCAUGGUUAUUUCAAAAUAUAUGGACACUGAGGGUGCAUCAAAAGGGCUAAAAGAUUAUGGCUAGAAGAUAAAAUAGAUGUGUCUCUCUAUUCCUUUCUCUAGAUAUAGCUAAAAUCUCUGGACAUCAUACAUAAACAUAAAAAUACUCGGAAAGGUGGAGACAAAAAAACAGGUCAGUUAGGGACUUUGAAACCUUAAAAAACAGCAUGGCACUGAGGUCUCUAGAUUUCCUCGUGCCUUAUAUAUUUCAUACUGGAUGCUAGAGAAGCCUGCAACCCAAAAUACCAACAUACACUGAUAAAAGAAAAAAAAGCCCCAAGAAAACCAAGGAAGGGUCAAAGGGUCAGCCUAGUGAAAAAGAAAAAAUCAUCUAAUUAAUUCAAUUUUUAAAAAAUAAUUUCAACUUUUAUUUUAGAUUCAAGGAAUAAAUGUGUAGGUUUGUUUCCUGGGUAUACUGUAUGAUGCUGAGGUUUGGGGUAUGAUUGACCCUGUCACCCAGACAGUGAUCAUAGUACCCAAUAGCUUUUCAACCCUUGCCCUCCCCCUUCCCUUGCCCCUUUAGCGGUCUCCAGUGUCUAUUGUUUCCAUAUUUAUGUCCAUGAGUAUCCACUGUUUAGCUCCAACUUAUAAGUGAAAAGAUGUGGUAUUUGUUUUUCUGUUUCUGUAUUGAUUAGCUUAUGAUAUGGUUAGGCUCUGUGUCCCCACCCAAAUCUCAUCUUGAAUUUUAAUCCCCAUAAUCCCCAUAUGUUGAGGGUGGAACAGGUGCAGAUAAUUGAAUCAUAGGGGCAGUUUCCUCUAUGCUGUUCUUAUGAUAAUGAGUGAGUUUUCAUGAGAUCCAAUGGUUUUAUAAGGGGCUUCCCCUCUUCACUUGGCACUCACUCCAUCCUGCCACCCUAUGAAGAAGGUGCAUGCUUUUCCUUUGCCUUCUGCCAUGAUUGUAAGUUUCCUGAGGCCUCCCCAGCAAUACGGAACUGUGAGUUAAUUAAAUCUCUUUCCUUUAUAAAUUACCAAGUCUCAGGUAUUUCUUCAUAGCAGCAUGAGAAUGGACUAAUACAGCUUAGGAUAAUGGCCUUCAGCUGCAUCCAUGUUGCUACAAAGGACAUGAUUUUCUUCCUUUCUAUGGCUACAUAGUAUCCUACGGUACAUAUAUACCACACUUUCUUUAUGCAGUCCACCAUUGACGGGCACCUAGGUUGAUUCUGUGUCUUUGCUAUUAUGAAUACUGCUACAAUGUACAAACAAGUACAUGUGUCUUUUCGGUAGAAUAAUUUAUUUUCUUUUGAAUAUAUACCCAGUAAUGAGAUUGCUGGGUCAAGUGGUAGUUCUAAGUUCCUUGAGAAAUCUCCAAAGUGCAGAAAUAAAAUUUUUGACAAUAACCACCCAACUCCAGCCAAACAUUAGGAGGAAAACUGUAGCCCUGUCCUGAUCCCAUCAGCAAAGGCCAAGUGGGAACGCUAUACUUCCACCUUUACCCAGAUGUAAUGAGGUGCUCUCUUUCCUCCUGAGAGUGCCAAUGAAAGCUGCACUGGGAACCUAAACCUCUACCCCCAUGUGGCAGUUAUGGGGCAGCACUUUCCUUUCCAUGCUGAUGUGGUUUCAGAUGAGGCUUGCUGAAACAGAAAAUUUAAACAAGAUCCAGAGUCUUCUGACUUAAUGCCUCAAAUGUCCACAAUAUUAAAGUUUACUCAUCACACCAAAAACCAAAAAAAAACUCAAUGUGAAUGAGAAAAGACAAUAACCAGAUGCUGUCUUAGUCUAUUUUGUGCUGCUACAGCUGAUCACCGACUGGGUAAUUUAUAAUAAACAGAAAUUUAUUGGCUCAUGGUUCCAGAGGCAGGGAAAUCCAAGAUCAAGAGGCCAGCAUCUGGCGAGGGCUUUCUUGCUAUGUCAUCCCAUGGUGGAAGAGCAAAGAGAGAAUAAGAGAGGGAGAGUAAGAAAGGAGAGGGGCAGAAAGAGAGGGCUGAACUUGUUUAAUUAAAAAAACAAACCCACUCCCAUAAUAAUGAACCCAGUCCAGUGAUGACAGCAUUAAUC